rnacentral:rRNA from 1 species
AACGAACGCUGGCGGCGUGCCUAACACAUGCAAGUCGUACGAGAAAAUCCGCUUCGGCGGGUGAGUAAAGUGGCGCACGGGUGAGUAACGCGUGGAUAAUCUGCCUUUAAGCGGGGAAUAACUUACCGAAAGGUGGGCUAAUACCCCAUAAAGCUAUGGAGCUCCGGUUUUCAUAGCCAAAGAGAGCCUCUGCAUGCAAGCCCUCACUUAGAGAUGAGUCCGCGUACCAUUAGCUAGUUGGUGGGGUAAUGGCCUACCAAGGCGACGAUGGUUAGCUGGUCUGAGAGGAUGAUCAGCCACACUGGAACUGAGACACGGUCCAGACUCCUACGGGAGGCAGCAGUGAGGAAUAUUGCGCAAUGGGGGCAACCCUGACGCAGCAACGCCGCGUGAGUGAGGAAGGUUUUCGGAUCGUAAAGCUCUGUCGGGUGGGAAGAAAUGUAUGGAGGUUAACAGCCUUUGUACUUGACGGUACGCCAAAGGAAGCACCGGCUAACU